AUCGUUCUAUGAGGCAUUUACCCUUUGAUAGGACAUCUCCAUGCAACAACAUGGCAGGGGCCAUGAGGUCAAGAUUUCUCUUGCUCCAUUCCUCUUCAUUUCCAUUCCUAUGACGUCAUGCAGGACGAUGUGUUCGGGUGGAAACAGCCAAAUCCACUCCCUCUCCAUCAUUGUGCCUUCCAUUUUAUGAUUUCUGCUGCGGCCAAUCCCCUCGUCGCCUG
rnacentral:lncRNA from 1 species